UACGAGAGGGGCAAGUGUUGUUCGUAAUGACUGGGCGUAAAGGGUAUGUAGGUUGUUAAUUCAUGCACAUGAGUUAAAAUGCUGUAUAUUAUGUAUAUAGAAAUAUUGAUUGUUAGUUUUAACUAGAAUUUGUCUCGGGAUCAAAGAAUUUUUUUUGUAGGGCUAAAAUCCGUAUUUGAAAAAAAAGAGAAUGCCAUAGGCGAAGGCAUUGAUCUGGAGAAGAUUGACACUGAGGUACGAAAGCGUGGGGAUCGAAUAGG
rnacentral:rRNA from 1 species